AUUGAACGCUGGCGGCAUGCCUAACACAUGCAAGUCGAACGGCAGCACAGCAGUAGCAAUACUGUGGGUGGCGAGUGGCGGACGGGUGAGGAAUACGUCGGAAUCUGCCCAGUCGUGGGGGAUAACUAGCCGAAAGGUUAGCUAAUACCGCAUACGACCGAGAGGUGAAAGCGGGGGACCGCAAGGCCUCGCGCGAUUGGAUGAGCCGACGUCGGAUUAGCUAGUUGGCGGGGUAAAGGCCACCAAGGCGACGAUCCGUAGCUGGUCUGAGAGGAUGAUCAGCCACACUGGAACUGAGACACGGUCCAGGACUCCUACGGAGGCAGCAGUGGGGAAUAUUGGACAAUGGGCGCAAGCCUGAUCCAGCAAUGCCGCGUCGUGUGAAGAAGGCCUCGGUUGUAAG
rnacentral:rRNA from 1 species